CUACGGGCCGCAGCAGUAAGGAAUAUUGCGCAAUGGAGGCAACUCUGACGCAGCCAUGCCGCGUGCAGGAAGAAGGCCUUAUGGGUCGUAAACUGCUUUUAUUUAGGAAUAAACCCCCGAACGUGUUCGGGGCUGAAGGUACUAAACGAAUAAGCACCGGCUAACUCCGUGCCAGCAGCCGCGGGAAUACGGAGGGUGCAAGCGUUAUCCGGAUUUAUUGGGUUUAAAGGGUGCGCAGGCGGGCUAUUAAGUCAGUGGUGAAAUCCCGGGGCUCAACUCCGGAACUGCCAUUGAUACUGAUAGUCUUGAGUUUGGUUGAAGUGGGCGGAAUGUAGCAUGUAGCGGUGAAAUGCAUAGAUAUGCUACAGAACACCAAUCGCGAAGGCAGCUCACUAAGCCAAAACUGACGCUCAUGCACGAAAGCGUGGGGAUCAAACAGGAUUAGAUACCCCAGUAGUC
rnacentral:rRNA from 1 species